AGCUCGAUCAUCGUUUGCGUUAUUUGCAUUGAUCAGUCUUGAUUUGUACUUGCAAUACAUCUCUUAGAAUUGUUCUACAAUUAAAAAGUCUAUUCUGCGAUUUAAAAGUCAUUUUACAAGAAAAACUUUGAUUUUAAAAAUGUUUGCAGUAAUUUUUGCAUUUAUGCUUGUGACAACAUAUGCAGCUGAAAUACCCUCCUACAUCAACGUGUGUGGGCGCCAGAAUCUCAAUCAAUGCAUCAAAGACAAUAUGAACAAUUUAAAGAGUAAAAUUUGCGAAGGGCUUACGGAUUUAAAUAUUCCACCACUUGAGCCGCUCAAUAUUGACAAAUUAGUCAUUUCCGAAACUGCCAACAACAAAAUAUAUAUAAAUAAUGUACAAAUAACGGGACUUUGUGAUUUCAUCGUAAACUCUAUUUCUGUAGAUUUGGAUAAGAUUAUUUUCAAUAUUGACACUUCAUUCAAUCGACUUUACUUAAAUGGCACGUAUGAUAUCGACAUACAUAUACUCGUGCCUAUUGCUUAUAAGGCACCUAUUUAUCUUACUACAGAUAACGCAAGUAUAAAAAUAAUCAUGCAAGCGUCAAAGGCAAUUAAAAAGGGUAUAGAACAUUUAUAUGUAUCGGAAUUAAAAUCAAAUAUCGAUGUUAAAGGAUAUGACGCUCAAUAUGGUUUGAAAGAAAAUGAACUAAGUCAAUUAGGCCAAAUUCUUGGCGGUCUUAUAGGCAGCAAUCAGGAGGAAUUUCUUCAAAGAUUGAUUCCGUUAAUAGAGGAAGAGAUCUCCAAAUGGCUUAUCUCAAUUGUCAACAGUGUAUUUAAAACGUUCUCUUACGAGCAACUCUUGCCGCACCGUACAUAAAUAAUUUAGAACUUUACAUUGCAAGAUUGUUAUCUAAAGGAGAGUACUCUCCGGAUUGUCAAAAUUCCACAUUUUUUAAAGAAAGUCUAUGAAGAAGAAUCGGAGAAAAUCGUUGAAAACUGAUCUUUUUUUAUUAAGUAGGUUAAAAUAGAUAGGAAAUCUUUUUAUCGUUCAUCAAUUGAAUGUUUAUGAUUUAAGUUUUGUCUGAGAUAAAAUCUGUAAUAAAUUAAGAAUCGCAGAGCAAAUAAAUUAAUUCUUUGCUAAAAGAGUUGACAAGUAAAAGCAAAGAUUUAUAUUGGUUUUAGGCGGGUUAUUCCAUUAGAUAAAAUCCAAGACAAGUAAAAAUAAAAAAAUUAUCAUUUUUUUUCACUCACUGGACUUUUCCGAGACCAAUCCUUAUUAUUCUUUACUUGUUUCAAAUUUCUUGUACAAUUUAAAAUUAAUUUUAACUUAAAAAAAGUGCCGGGCUAAUUUCCCUUUCAUUACAAGCGACUAAGAGGACUUGCUAUAAAACUAACGAGUUAAAAAAUUAACUAAUUGUGAGCUCAACAUUGUAAAUGGAUAAUAAAAUCUUAUUUUUUGUUGAA